rnacentral:rRNA from 1 species
UACGGAGGAUGCAAGCGUUAUCCGGAAUGAUUGGGCGUAAAGCGUCCGCAGGUGGCGAUGUAAGUCUGCUGUUAAAGAGCAAAGCUUAACUUUGUAAAAGCAGUGGAAACUACAUCGCUAGAGUGCGUUCGGGGCAGAGGGAAUUCCUGGUGUAGCGGUGAAAUGCGUAGAGAUCAGGAAGAACACCGGUGGCGAAGGCGCUCUGCUAGGCCGCAACUGACACUGAGGGACGAAAGCGUGGGGAUCAAACAGG